CACAAACUCCUUUCCUUAGAUUCAUUUCCUCUCAAGCAUUUUGGCAGGAGAAUUCCUAUGACACAGGGAAAAUCAGGCCCUCUGCAUUACUCCAGACUACACCCUGGGGCAACAGGAUGCUUGGCUGGAUUAAGAGAGUGCUGCCUCACCCUCCUGGGACCCCACACCAGCCACCCCUAGUGGAGAACGGAGACAGAAAAGCAGACACCAGGGUAACAGCUGUCGCAUCCAGGCCUGGAGAGGCAGAGCAGCUGCCAAAAGGAAACUCCACAUGUCCAGGAAAAUCUUCCAGCUGCGGUCAGACAGAGGGGGCAGGGAAGAAAGUGACAUUCAUCACAACCCAGGAGCCAGGCCCAUCCUCAGUGUCUUCAGCUGAAAGUGCUGGAAGGGGUGUACUUUCAUGGCUAUCUCAGGAGCUGGGAAAGGUAGUCCCUCAGCCAGCCCAGAAUCCAGGGAUGCGGCAGGCCAUCAGAAAGAGCUUCGAGAAUAGUUUGGACUUCCCUGACCAGACUGAAGUCCAGAGCAUAAAGGAGGAUGACGACCUACUAGAGAUAACUUCCCUCGCUCCAGAUGAAGACGAGCUUCAGGAUCAUAGCGAGUUGCAUUGCAGCUCAGAUAAUAAUGCCUCUGAAAAAGGGACUGGCAGCAGGGUGAUUAGCUGGCUGAUGCAGGGAUUUGGGAAAAUGAUCCCGCAGCCGGAAAACCUGAACAAGCUUGAGGAUGUAGCGGAGGGGAAGGCUGAAGAGGCAGCCGUAAGAGAAGAAAGUAAAGUGAGUAAGACAAGGACAGCACCAAAGGGAAGCUCUCAAGCAAGUCGCAGCGUAUCAGGAACCUCACAGCAGGCAUCUACAGACGGCCUGUUGGGACUUGGCGCCUCUCUCUCUCCUCAGAUGCUAGGUGGCGACGGUGGCAGGGUGGUCAAGUGGUUUGUUCAGGGAAUGGAGAUGGUGAUUCCACAGCCUCUGGCCAGAGUGAAGCAAGAUGCUCAGGCUGCAGAAGUUGCAACCUUGUGCCCAGUGAAAGAGAGGGGGGAAGGGGCUUAG
ensembl:lncRNA